rnacentral:rRNA from 1 species
UUUCCGUAGGUGAACCUGCGGAAGGAUCAAUUACCGGAGUGAGGGCCCUCUGGGGGUCCAACCUCCCACCCGUGUCUAUCGUACCUUGUUGCUUCGGCGGGCCCGCCGUUUCGACGGCCGCCGGGGAGGCCUUGCGCCCCCGGGCCCGCGCCCGCCGAAGACCCCAACAUGAACGCUGUUCUGAAAGUAUGCAGUCUGAGUUGAUUAUCGUAAUCAGUUAAAACUUUCAACAACGGAUCUCUUGGUUCCGGCAUCGAUGAAGAACGCAGCGAAAUGCGAUAAGUAAUGUGAAUUGCAGAAUUCAGUGAAUCAUCGAGUCUUUGAACGCACAUUGCGCCCCCUGGUAUUCCGGGGGGCAUGCCUGUCCGAGCGUCAUUGCUGCCCUCAAGCACGGCUUGUGUGUUGGGCCCCCGUCCCCCUCUCCCGGGGGACGGGCCCGAAAGGCAGCGGCGGCACCGCGUCCGGUCCUCGAGCGUAUGGGGCUUUGUCACCUGCUCUGUAGGCCCGGCCGGCGCCAGCCGACACCCAACUUUAUUUUUCUAAGGUUGACCUCGGAUCAGGUAGGGAUACCCGCUGAACUUAA